GCACAUGGAAAGAACAGAGCAGUCCCAUUAAAAGUGCGUGGUAUUACAUGCAAAGAUGUUUUCGUUAAUGGACGCGAAGGAGUGUUGGUGACAGUUUCUUGGGAGAAGACAUUUUGUGAAUCCAAGCCCGAAUUGAAAACUGAAAGCAAAGAUGCUGUAGUACCGACCAUCGCUGAACUGCAAGAUAAUCAAAAUGCCCAAAGGACCGAUCAUCAGACGGUACGUAAGACGGA